GCAGUCGAGCGAACAGAUAAGGAGCUUGCUCCUUUGAAGUUAGCGGCGGACGGGUGAGUAACACGUGGGUAACCUACCUAUAAGACUGGGAUAACUUCGGGAAACCGGAGCUAAUACCGGAUAAUAUUUAGAACCGCAUGGUUCUAAAGUGAAAGAUGGUUUUGCUAUCACUUAUAGAUGGACCCGCGCCGUAUUAGCUAGUUGGUAAGGUAACGGCUUACCAAGGCGACGAUACGUAGCCGACCUGAGAGGGUGAUCGGCCACACUGGAACUGAGACACGGUCCAGACUCCUACGGGAGGCAGCAGUAGGGAAUCUUCCGCAAUGGGCGAAAGCCUGACGGAGCAACGCCGCGUGAGUGAUGAAGGGUUUCGGCUCGUAAAACUCUGUUAUUAGGGAAGAACAAAUGUGUAAGUAACUGUGCACAUCUUGACGGUACCUAAUCAGAAAGCCACGGCUAACUACGUGCCAGCAGCCGCGGUAAUACGUAGGUGGCAAGCGUUAUCCGGAAUUAUUGGGCGUAAAGCGCGCGUAGGCGGUUUCUUAAGUCUGAUGUGAAAGCCCACGGCUCAACCGUGGAGGGUCAUUGGAAACUGGGAAACUUGAGUGCAGAAGAGGAAAGUGGAAUUCCAUGUGUAGCGGUGAAAUGCGCAGAGAUAUGGAGGAACACCAGUGGCGAAGGCGACUUUCUGGUCUGUAACUGACGCUGAUGUGCGAAAGCGUGGGGAUCAAACAGGAUUAGAUACCCUGGUAGUCCACGCCGUAAACGAUGAGUG
rnacentral:rRNA from 1 species